CGCAGUGGAAUUCCAAUUGAGGUUGGAAAGGGAAAAGUUCUUAUAGAGGGUAAAGAUGUUGCUUUGCUUGGGUAUGGGGCAAUGGUUCAGAACUGCCUCAAAGCUCGGCACCUUCUUUCAAAGCUUGGCAUUGAGGUAACUGUUGCUGAUGCAAGAUUCUGCAAACCUCUCGACAUGAAGCUUCUCAGACAACUAUGUGAAAAUCAUGCAUUUCUGGUCACAGUUGAGGAAGGCUCUGUUGGAGGAUUUGGAUCCCAUGUUGCACAGUUCAUGGCUCUUGAUGGACAACUUGAUGGUAGAGUUAAAUGGCGACCUAUCGUUUUACCAGACAGCUAUAUCGAACACGCAUUGCCAAAGGAACAGCUUACUCUUGCUGGGCUGACUGGACACCAUAUUGCUGCAACAGUACUAAGACUGCUUGGUCGCACCCGCGAAGCUCUCCUUUUAAUGUGUUAGAAAUCUAUAUUUUCUCUGCUAUUAUCGCUUAAGAUGUUGAGCCUACAUUGCUUCACUGAUUUUUGUUAAGUAAUUAGUUCAUAUGUGAAAUUAACACUAUAUCUGGCUUGUAAUGAUUGUAAUGAUUAACGCUGCAAUCUGAAUUUUUUUUUUUUUUUUUUUUUUUU
rnacentral:misc_RNA from 1 species